UAACAAAAAAGUAAAAUUUUACAUUUAAUUUCGACUUAAAUUUAGGAUUAACAUCCUAUGUUAA
rnacentral:tRNA from 1 species